rnacentral:tRNA from 1 species
AGAUCUUUAAUAUAAGUUGAGUAUAUCCUAUUGCAGAUAGGAAUGUUUAUAGGUCUU